ensembl:lncRNA
CUUUACAUGCAGGCGUCAAAAGCUAUUCCUGGCUGUUUUAUUCUCUAGGCCAUUUUAUGGCCUUAUUUUUCUGCAUCAGAAAACUUCAAGUGUUAGAGUAUCUUCUGCUACCUUCCUCAUUAGUCAAAGGAGAGACCUUCCCCUGCCCUCCCACAUCAUCCCUCCUGUUACUGCCCACACAUCUCUUCUUUACAAUAUUAAGCAAAAGAUAGUUUUGUAAGGUACGUGCCUGUGUUGAAAGUAUUACCCCUUCAAUCAGUCCCCAGCAAGGGUCCUCCUGCCCCGGGUGUCACUCAUGCCGAUAGAAGGAGAUGGAGUUCGACUCAGAAGCAUGGGAAAGCUUUAUUCUUCAAACAAGGAAGGGCGUGAGCUCUUGCUCUAGAGCACUAGCUCUCCUGCAAAGUCCUUGGCAACAGGCCAAAAGCAGGGCUGUUUUACAGAGUUCUUGUCAGCAGGGAGGGGGCAGAGUUCUUCCUGGUUGGGUGUAUCUGUGCUGCUCACAGGUGCUCCGGCUUGAAGUGGCAGGGCCAGCAUCUCUGCACACAGCCCUCCACUGCAAUCUUCUGAGCACGGCCCACCACGCUGAGGUGCCGGGUGCAGCAUCUCUGCACACGGCACACCACUGCCGCCAUCUUGAACUGCAGAGUUUUCCGUAGUGUCCCUGAACAGGCUGCAAAGCUGAGGUGUCGGCAUAGCUAUGCCGCGCUAGGAACUCUUGUCUGGAGUUCCCGGUGGUGUACCUCCAUCCUCGGUACCCUAGGAGCAAGACAAACCAGACUAAACACAAAGGACCAAAAAAGCUGGUUUUAGAAAAGGCAGAAGAACCAGAGAUCAAAUUGCCAACAUCUGCUGGAUCAUCAAAAAAGCAAGAGCGUUUCAGAAAAACAUCUAUUUCUGCUUUAUUGACUAUGCCAAACCUUUGACUGUGUGGAUCACAAUAAACUGUGGAAAAUUCUGAAAGAGAUGGGAAUACCAGACCACCUGACCUGCCUCUUGAGAAAUCUGUAUGCAGGUCAGAAAUCAACAGUUAGAACUGGACAUGGAACAACAGAUUGGUUCCAAAUAGGAAAAGGAGUACGUCAAGGCUGUAUAUUGUUACCCUGUUUAUUUAACUUCUAUGCGGAGUACAUCAUGAGAACCGCUGGGUUGGAUGAAGCACAAGCUGGAAUCAAAUUUCUGGGAGAAAUAUCAAUAACCUCAGAUAUGCAGAUAACACCACCCUUAUGGCAGAAAGUGAAGAAGAACUAAAGAGCCUCUUGAUUAAAGUGAAAGAGGAGAGUGAAAAAGUUGGCUUGAAGCUCAACAUUCAGAAAAUGAAGAUCAUGGCAUCUGGUCCCAUCACUUCAUGAUAAAUAGAUGGAGAAACAGUGUCAGACUUUAUUUUCUUGGGCUCCAAAAUCACUGUAGGUGUUGACUGCAGCCAUGAAAUUAAAGGCUGCUUACUCCUUGGAAGAAAAGUUAUGACCAACCUAGACAGCAUAUUAAAAAGCAGAGACAUUACUUUGCCAACAAAGUUCUGUCUAAUUAAACCUAUGGUUUUUCCAGUAGUCAUGUAUGGCUAUGACAGUUGGAUUAUAAAGAAAGCAGAACGCCAAAGAAUUGAUGCUUUUGAACUGUGGUGUUGGAGAAGACUCUUGAGAGUCCCUUGGACUGCAAAGAGAUCCAACCAGUCCAUCCUAAAGGAGAUCAGUCCUGGGUGUUCAUUGGAAGGACUGAUGUUGAAGCUGAAACUCCAAAACUUUGGCCACCUGAUGCAAAGAACUGACUCACUGGAAAAGACUCAGAUGCUGGGAAAAAUUGAAGACAGGAGGAGAAGGGGACGACAUGGUAUGAGAUGGUUGGAUGGCAUCACUGACUCAAUGGACAUGAGUUUGGGUAGACUCUGGCAGUUGGUGAUAGACAGGGAGGCCUGGCGUGCUGCAGUCCAUGUGGUCUCAAGGAGCUGGACAUGACUGAGUGACUGAACUGAACUGAAUUGAACUUGGCCAUCUGUAUGUCUUCUUCAGAGAAAUUCCUUUUAGAUCUUCCACCCAUUUUUCAAUUGGAUUUUUUUUUUUAAUGUAGAGAUGCAUGAAC